rnacentral:snRNA from 1 species
GGUUAUGACGGAGCAAAUAACAU